UUACAAUCUAUCCAUGUGACAAACAGACGGGAGAAAGCAGAUGAUGCAGGCUGAAGCAGAGCAACAUGUUCGGGUAAUCUCAGCUGCAACAUGCAGUCCUCAGGUGGACUGGGACCUGUGAUCAGACCCUGACCAGGAUGAAGUGAUCUAAAUUCCUAGCCUGGCUACCUAAUCAUCCUGGCUCAGUGAUUCCGUUUCCUGAGUGGCUGGCAUGCUACGGAUUGGUGAUAAGAUUGACAUGCUACCCAGUGGAGAAGAUGGUCAGGCAGACCACCAGCGCCACGGUGACAUCCAAUCACACCUGAAUUGCUGAUCAGGUUUGGACCAAGAACCGAAGAGGAACGUUGUUUCCUUCUGUUUAUGUACAGCAACAAACACAGCGGAGACUAACAUGUGAAAUACAG